UACGUAGGGCGCAAGCGUUAUCCGGAAUUACUGGGCGUAAAGGGCGCGUAGGCGGCCUUCUAAGUCGAACGUGAAAUCCCCGGGCUCAACCCGGGAACUGCGUCCGAUACUGGAAGGCUUGAAUCCGGGAGAGGGAUGUGGAAUUCCAGGUGUAGCGGUGAAAUGCGUAGAUAUCUGGAGGAACACCGGUGGCGAAGGCGACAUCCUGGACCGGUAUUGACGCUGAGGCGCGAAAGCCAGGGGAGCAAACGGG
rnacentral:rRNA from 1 species